rnacentral:tRNA from 69 species
GCCCGGAUAGCUCAGUUGGUAGAGCAGGGGAUUGAAAAUCCCCGUGUCGGUGGUUCGAUUCCGCCUCCGGGCACCA